ACGAAGGUCCCAAGCGUUGUUCGGAAUCACUGGGCGUAAAGAGUGCGUAGGCGGCGCGGAAAGUCAGAUGUGAAAUCCCGGGGCUCAACCUCGGAACGGCAUCCGAUACUCCCGCGCUAGAGGACUGGAGAGGAGUCUGGAAUUCACGGUGUAGCAGUGAAAUGCGUAGAUAUCGUGAGGAACACUAGUGGCGAAGGCGAGACUCUGGACAGUUCCUGACGCUGAGGCACGAAGGCCAGGGGAGCGAAGGGG
rnacentral:rRNA from 1 species